CCUCGUGAUUGAGGAAGGGGGGAAGAGGGGAAAAUGGGCGAAAGCCGGAUCCAGCCAUGCCGCGUGUGUGAAGAAGGCCUUCGGGUUGUAAAGCACUUUCAGUGGGGAAGAAAGCCUUGGGGCUAAUACCCUCGAGGAAGGACAUCACCCACAGAAGAAGCACCGGCUAACUCCGUGCCAGCAGCCGCGGUAAUACGGAGGGUGCGAGCGUUAAUCGGAAUUACUGGGCGUAAAGCGCGCGUAGGCGGUCUGAUAAGCCGGUUGUGAAAGCCCCGGGCUCAACCUGGGAACGGCAUCCGGAACUGUCAGGCUAGAGUGCAGGAGAGGAAGGUAGAAUUCCCGGUGUAGCGGUGAAAUGCGUAGAGAUCGGGAGGAAUACCAGUGGCGAAGGCGGCCUUCUGGACUGACACUGACGCUGAGGUGCGAAAGCGUGGGUAGCAAACAGGAUUAGAUACCCGUGUAGUC
rnacentral:rRNA from 1 species